CUCAGAAGUCCAAAAGAGGCGUACUUUAUGGGACAAGUGCCGUGGACAGUUAAUAGAUGGGAUCAAAGUUGAUAGCGAUUGGGAAGCUGUAGAAAAGGAAUAUUAUGUACACCUAGUGCGUCCGUGUGUGCCGACAGUAAGACGGUCUUUACACAAACAUACGGUGUCAACGUAAUUAUUAUUUAUUUUUUUUUUUUUUUAUAAGCGUGUAUACUUUCAACCACAGGUUUUCGGAUAGCAACCACUUUCGUUGCGUCGCCGUUAGCGGCAUAAUUACAACUAUCGAAGAAAUACAAAUUUACCCGCACACGAUAAAAUCGUAUUUAAUUUUGCGGUGCGGACAUCGGUUACCCGGAGAUCCAGUUACGGACACGGCGUCGUUACUCGUUGGAUUCUUCUUCGCGAUUGUGCACACUUUCGUCUUUUACGAUCCGCAUCGAUUUUCGCUGUACACAUUUUAUUCGCACGUUCAUAAGUAUUUUGCGUACGCUUUGUUAUACAAUUUUAACAUUCGCGUACAAUUGACAUUUCCGUUCACCAACAAUUGCUAACUUUUUUUACACGGCGUAACGCGUGAAACGCGCACAAGAGAUCGUCACCGUUACUAAAUGUCUAUAGCGAUGGUAUUUGAACACGAGACCACGUCGGAAAACGUAGAAUUGUGGUUUUAUUUCUGAUUUCCGGUUUUUCGAUUAAACUUUUAUUCAUUUGUACAUAUAACAGUGCGAAACCGACGCGAUAACACGCAAUCUCCAACGGAAUAAAUAUAAACAUAUACCAUUUGUAUUAUCCGCGACUUUGUCCAUUAUAAUAUAAUAUUAUUUUAUGUCCGUACAGUUUAGCGUGCGUAUAUUUAUUGUCUAUUUUAUCGAUUUUUUUUUUUUUUUUUUAGGUCUAUAUCGAUAAUAUAGACGGGGGUUCCGCUUUCACAGCUAUUAUUUACGUCGUCGUCGUCGUGUCGCUAUAAUUACAUUGAGCCGACGACAAAAUUAAUAAUCAUUUCUGAACCAUGCGGAAUGGCUGGAUUCAAAAUAAUAACAAUAAUUCAAUUGCCUACAAACUACGAGCGUGCACAGCAAAUGAAACAGGAAACGGCUUGAAAUUUGCCACUCUCGUCGUGUCGUAACGUAAUAGGACGUGUUCGCGUACGAUGGUUGUGCGUACAUAUUAUUACUAUCGUUAUUAUUAUUAGUAUUAUGUUCGAGUUUGAUACUUUAAUAUUGUUAUAUUGAUAGCAAUUUCAUCAUAAAAGACAAAAAUUCAAUAUCGAAC